rnacentral:tRNA from 1 species
AAGGCUUUAGCUUAAUUAAAGUACUUGAUUUGCAUUCAGGUGAUGUUGGAUAAAGUCCUGCAGGUCUUA